CAGCCUGCUGUUCCAAGACUUCUCCUAAAAAGUGCCAAAUGCAGACAACAACGAGGAAGAAUGACACGCGUGAGUAGCAAACGCGAAAGUCCCAUUGAUGGCGUUACAUGGGAGGUAUUCACAGCACCAACGACGCGUCAUCCCUGCUUGUUUCGUCCCCCUUAGCGCGAGAUCAUGCCACAUCGACGUCAAGGACGGGAGAUCGAUCUUAAUCGUGCAUUCCCCUUUCCCUUUUCAGAAUAGAGUUAGAAUUUCAGAAAAAGGUUGCUUAUCCAAUUUAUUGAAGGUUUUUUUUUUUUUGAGAAUUUGAAUUUGAAGAGAACCCCUCUAUCAUCAAUUCAUGAUCCGUUUCCCCCCAAUUAAAAUCCUAAAUUCCUCUCUGUAUAAACUCCCAUUCAUCGUUUUGGAGGGGGGGGGGGGGGCAGUCGAGAUACGAAAAAAAAGGGGAAAAAAUUUUCUUUGAAAGAAUCAUAAAUAUUAAUAAAUUUUUUCAGAAACAAUGAGCUAAAAAUUUGAGUGAAAUAUUUAGAAAAUCUUGAGAGUCUAGCUAAGUGUUAAAAAGAGGAAGCCAUUUAAAUCCGAAGUUCUUGGAGAUAUUCCUUUAAUCUCAGUUUGGUUCACUCUAUGUCAUUCAUCCAAGUCUUCUCGGAGUCAUUCUUUGGGUGCGGAAGUCGGUACUCUUUCAGGCUCGCUAUCGUCCUUGUUCUUCUGCCCCUCUGAAGGUAAUCUUGCAUUUCCCUUUAAGUAUCCCUUGUUCUUAAUAUGUUGUUCAUGAGAGUGUAGAGUCGUCUACAUGAUAGAGUGGGUGAUCUAUUUUUUUUUGCCAUCUUCGAACUCGUGCUGGCUAUUGUGUAGUAAUAGAAUCUGUUUGAUAAGGCUAUUAUCGUCGUUUUCAAAACGUUUUGGUGUCUGUCUAGCUUACAUUGUUGUUUUGUGUUUCUUCGAGCUCAUGGCUAUUAUGCUCGUCUUAAGAUUGGACUUUUAAUUUGUUAAACAUCAUGCUUCUAGUCCAUCUCUAUUUAGCAAAAAUAUUCUCUUAUUUUGCUAUAUAUCCUUAAGCGUCAAAGAAGUCGUUUUAUCCUCUCUCUAUGGGUCCUAUUUUAUGGAUUUCUGCCUUGCUCCGUGUGUGUGUUUAGCCAUGACUAUUUCGUUCUAAAAGGGGAUUGAAACCUCCAACAGGCUGCUGUCCGGAUGUCAACUCGUUCAAAUUUUUUUCCUUAUUCCGAAAAUGAAUCUCAAAUGUGAUGUAGGUUUAGUAUGGCUGACAUGUUCAGUUUAUUGAAUAUGUUAAUAUUUUCCUCUAAAUGACUCGGCUAAUUGUUGUGUUCCAAGUGCAUGCCUCUUAACAUAAUGAACUAGCAUCACCAAGCUCUUCACUUAUGGAGUUAGUUCGAUUUCCUCAUUCCGAUAAUUUCACUUAAAGUACGCGUGCAAGUUGCUUCUACAUGAAAAUCUGUGAUUGCCAAUGUUUGCCAUUUAUUAAGUUGGUUUGUUUUGGUUUCCCAUAUAGCCACUGUUCAUUUUUUUGCCUAAAUAUUUUUUUUUGUUUUAUGCUUUCUUCUAUCAUUGUUUUGUUUUAGUUUCUCAAAAGACCUUGUUAUGUUUUUCGUAUUGAUUUGUUUCAUUAGUUCUACUUUGACUCGGAUGCUAAUUCUCUUUUUUUUACCAAUUUGUUGUAUGAACCUCCUCCGAGUUCAUAACGGAGUUCUUUAGUUGCAUUCUCAUAUUCGAGCCAUGAAGGCUCAAAUCUCUUGUCGCCUUCGAGUCAGCCAGAUUGUUGUUGUGUAAAGCAAAAACCUUAAAAUGGAGGCUGGAAAUGGAGCUUGCAAGCUCCAAAAAGCUAAAAUAAGUGUUUGUAUGCUGUUGUAUAUAGCGAUAUAUGGUCAAAAACACCACGAUACUUGUGUGGAAAUCGAUAUUAUAGAUGGAAAUAAGCAAAAUCAAAGGUGUGCAGGUUGAAUACAGCAGAUACUGCUGAAAAAUUCAUUUUUUACAGCCCCAAAGGGCCUAAAACGCAGUGAUAUACCAGCUGGAAUAUAGCACAGAUGGGUGCAAAAAGUGAAAAUGCAGGUGAAACGUGCAGGGACAUCGAAUUCAAAUAAAAGACAGGCUCGGAAUUCCAAAAAACCAGUAUAUGUGAUGUAUACGUCAAAUAUACACCUGGUGUAUAUCAUGGAAAUGGGGACAAAAAGGGCCUAAAGCUUAAAGAAUUUUGGGCCCAAGUCCAUUUGUGAUAAUUUUAGAAUUAGGACAGGUGGUCCAAAUGCCCAAUUUAGUGGAAUUUGGGUAAUUGAUCCAAGUUCAAAUACUCCCCUCAUUUUCCCUCUUUAUUUAUGUAUUAUUAAAUUAAGUUAAACUUUGAUUGAAUUUUAUUAAAUUCCUA